AUCCGGCUGACGAGUCCCAAAUAGGACCAAAUGCGCAUCUUGGAU
rfam:Trichobilharzia regenti genome assembly, scaffold: TRE_scaffold0033557